rnacentral:lncRNA from 1 species
GAAGGCACUUCACUGACUCCCAACUCUGAGGAUUUUUGGUUUUGUAAAUCGCAAAAGGCAAAUGAUCAGAAAUAAAUUGAUUGGAGGAUUUCAACAUAACCUUGCAGUUCGACAUCUAUGUGGUACUUCUGAACAGAUCAUUGAGAUCCAUUUUAUUCUAGUGGAGUUGCUUCAUGUCCGGAGAUAGCAUCCUAACUGGAUUGCAGUGUGUGUGUGUGUGUGUGUGUGUGUGUGUGUGCGUAUGCAUGUGUGUGUGUGCGUGCAUGCACAGUUGUUGUCCAUGUCAGCCCACACUGCCUGCUGGCACAUAUCCUCUGUUGGUACAAAUCACCCUUGCAGACACUUCCACCUCCUGAUAUUUUGCAGCCUCCCGUUCCCUGAGGGACAAGUGUUGAGGGAACUGUCAGAGAAGAGCUGUGUUGUAGCCUCUGCUGGCUGGUUUACUUAUUCCUUGAAAAAAAAAGAGAGCAGUUUUCAACUGGCUGUGAUUUGGGCUGGUGUCAGGCAUCCUGUGCUGGCCCAUGGCCCUGCUGAAUAGAGCACACAGACAGAAAGGCACAGGGCAUUCUGGGUGCAAGACCUGGGAGUGACAUGAAAGCUGAGGAUAUGGAUGUGUGCAGUCUGAGACAUAUACAAGUCAUCAGAGGGUCCAGGCUGCCAGAGUGCAGUGGGACAGUCUGGUAUAUCCCAAAGGAAGGAAGCUCAGAUGCGGGUGUCUCUGGUUCAGCAAGAUGAGCUUUGCCUUCUUCCCACAUGCACCCUAGAGAGAUGAGCUGUCUAUAUCCCAGGCUGUGUCAUCCCAGUAUCUGGGAGUUGUGAUUCCCAGUGGUCAUUUUCAUUUGUUUAUUUACUGACAGUUAUAUUUAUAGAUUUGUCAAUAGAAAAUCUGUAGGGAUAUUUUAGGGUCAUUUUCCAGGACAAAGACCAAAUUUUAUGACAUCUUGGUGCAUACAGAUUACAUUUUAUCACUGACUGAGAGACAUUGGGUGAACAGAAUUACAGGUGAAUCACUCUAGGGCAGUGGUCUGUCAGCUUUCCCAAUGCUGUGACUCUUUAAUAGAGUUCCUCAUGUUGGGGUGACCCCAAUCAUAAAAUUACCGCAUUGCUACUUCAUAACUGCAAUCUUGCUACUAUUAUGAACUGCAAUGCAAACAUCUGAUAUGCAGGAACGACCCCUGUGAAAGGCUGUUUCGAUUUUAAGAGGUCAUGACUUAUAGGUUGAGAACGCUGCUUUAGGUGAAAAUAAUUUUGCCAUGCGCUGUUAUGAAACUGUGAGGAUUUCCUCUCCUCCAAAGCUACACCUCGAGACGACUUUUAUCUGGUGAACAACCGGCUUCUCCACACUGCUCACAUCAUCUCCUCUUUCUACUUAAAGGAAACAUCCUAGGCAGGCUUCUCAGAACUCUGUCUAGAGCGUUAGCGUUCAGCCUCGUCCUGUGAAUGUCUGCCAUCACAGAAGGCACCGAGCAUUUUUAUUCUUUGUGCUCUGGGCCUUAAUGUUAUCCAGAAGAUCUUUUUGUCUCUAUGUUUGGUUAACUGAUGCCAAAUAUACAUUAUUCUGUUUUUUAGUAACUUUUUUUUUGUCACAGAUGACUAAACUGCUCAUUUUUCAAAAUCAAAGUGUAAAUCUUUUGCUUAAUUCGGACCCUAUUGAUGGUGACUAUCUUUGGACAUAAUAACAUGAGAUCUUGGAGGUGACAUUAAUAAUGGGCUUAAGCGAUGGUUUGCCCCACAUGCCCUUGCUGUAAGUGUAUGUAUAUGUUCCAGUCAUUAAAAUAAAAAGACAGAGAAUAGAAGAAUCGCCUUUACUUUACAAGCUUCUUCCUGGGGAAGUGCUAACGAAUAAGUAAAAAAGCUGAGAAAAGUGAUCUUGUCUCGUGGCUAUUAAAAUCUGAUGGUCUCAGAUCCAUAUACCUUGUUAACCUAGAGUGGUCAAAAUCUUUACCCAUGUUAAGGAAAGGCAGAUCUAGCAGAGGAAUGAAUCACUUCACAGGGCCUCAGGCUUCAUGCACUGCGAUGCUGAUACAAAGACAGUUCAGUUACUCUGACAGUGUUAUUAAGUAUUUAUACUCAAGACAAGUUAAAAACUAUGAAUAGAGUGUACAUUUCAUAAUAUAUUAGAAGGACAUGUGCUUGUGUGUGUGUGUUAGCAUUUUGAAGGCCAAUAUUUUCAUGUAGGAAGUUGUGCAGUAUUAGAGAACAAAAAUUUCCAAAUAAAGGAAAACAUAUUUUUAGACUGGGUUUUUGUCAGAGGACAAAAAAAAAAAUAAAAUAUGCCAUACAUCUAUUUCCAAUAGCAGUGUCUUUUUGUUGUCAUUAUUAUUUUUAGUAGUAGCAGUAUUAAAAUAUGCUGACUGAGUCUGAAAAAUAAAGCAGUAAAUGUAGUAUUUUUGGAAAGUCCAGGUACUGUAUUUAUUUAAAAUGUGGGUUUAUUAACUUUGAAAAGUUUAAUCUCUAUUUAAACUGAGGGUUCAAAUAUGUUCACUCAAUUUCAAGGGAAUUUAGCUAUUUGCAAAGCACAUAACUACUAGUAGUCAAUUGUUAAUUUUUUAGAUAUAGGAAUCAAGAAAGAAACCAAUGACUCAUUAGAUAUUUUAGAAUAAUUUACACACCUGAUGGCCUCACACUUCCUUUUCAGAGCUAACUGCCAAGAAAUUGUGCUGUUGUGUGUUUGUGUAAAAUGAAUCACAACAGGGUAAGAGAAAGGUUAGUUAUUAAAACAAUCAAGCAUUCACUUCAGUUUAUUCACAACCCAUUAGAGGACAGCAGGACUUCCUGGGUACCUCUGCAACAAGACUUAAAAUUUAUAGAGGAAAUCAAUUUUUGAGGUUGUUUUAAAUAUUAAAAGUACCCUUCUUUAAUACAAAAGUCCUUUAAUUUUAACUGACAGAUCAAUUCUAAAACUUUAUUUUGAAAAGAAAAUGGGGAAGAAUUUGUCUUGAGAAUUUAAAGAGAUUAAAAAAAAUAAACCAGACAUUCUAAAAAAAAAAAAAAAUCAACCUGAUUUUUUAGUGCUAAUGAGUCCUGGUGACAAAAUAGUUGUCUUUUUGAUUUUAUCACAAAAAAUAAACUGGUAGUGACAGGAUAUGAUGGAGAGAUUUGACAUCCUGGCAAAUCACUGUCAUUGAUUCAAUUAUUCUAAUUCUGAAUGAGAACUGUAUACAGUGCGUGUUUAUGCUACACUGGGCUUUUUUUUUAAAGUGACUGACAUUCAUCAUAUUGGUGAGACAGUUUUAAAAACCUAGUCUUUGUUUUCGACAAUGUUGUCAAGAGAAAAUAGAGUAUAAUUUGUGGUAUAUUAAAAGGAAACUGCUUAAAAUGCUAGUUAAAGGUGCUUUAAAAUAUUCUAAUUUAUUUGAAAAUUCAAUUUCUACCAAAAGAUGUUAAAUAUCUUUUAAAAAAACUGGAGUUCUUAAACACACACAAGUGGCUUUCUGGCUUCCACUGUUUAUCUAUGGCUUGUCAAACCCUUCAAGACUAUGGACCCAUGACCCCAAAGCCCAGUGUUUUUCAGGAAAACCUGCUCCAUAUGCUGUGUCCCCGAGACAUUUUGCAUGGUCAGAUAUCAUUUACAGGCUCAGCCAGUGCUCCUGGUUAACAAAGGCACAAUGGAAGUCUGAGUGUGUCUCAGUUACUUACGUUGUCUUAGACCUAGAUUAUAUAACUUGCUCACCAGGCUUCAGUACACAUCUCUAGGACCCCGGCAUUAGUGGAGCUGCCAGCUUGAAUUUUGUCUGUUGACACAAUGUUACAGUGCUGACGUCAAUUACCCAGAACUUCAGAGUCUUCCUGCCUGCUUCCCAUCAAGUCCUGGAUGUAUUGUCUAAUGUGCUGGGUAAUGCAGACUGAAUCACCACAUAUGAUUUUUGUCUUCACCAUUUUCAACAAUGGGAUGCACAAAUGCUAACUCUUUCAAAUACUAGCAAACAAAAUAUUCUUUGAAAAAAAGUCUUGGUAGUGAUUUUUUCAAAAACAAAGUCAUCUGAAAUGUAUUCACACACAACUUGAAUUCAAUGUUCUACACUCUAUGGGGUGUGCCAUGCCUGUUACCAUAAGACACAAGUCACCAUCAUCCCAUUGCUAUAGUCCACUUGAACUAAUGACAACUCUAAGGCAAACUGUAUUUUGGGGAUUUUUUGGGUGUUUAUUUAAAAAGUAAUUAGUAUUUUAAAAAAAAACCCACAGCAGCUAAAUGUCAAAUGGCAGUAUUUCUGCCAUAUUAUGUUUGUACAAAAGUCAGUAGAAAAAAAUAAAUCAUGAAACAACUC